CGCGUAGGCGGUCUCUUAAGUCAGGUGUGAAAGCCCGAGGCUCAACCUCGGAAGUGCACUUGAAACUAAGGGACUUGAGUAUGGGAGAGGGAAGUGGAAUUCCUGGUGUAGCGGUGAAAUGCGUAGAUAUCAGGAGGAACACCGGUGGCGAAGGCGACUUCCUGGACCAAUACUGACGCUGAGGCGCGAAGGCGUGGGGAGCAAACA
rnacentral:rRNA from 1 species